GACGAACGCUGGCGGCGUGCUUAACACAUGCGAGUCGAACGGAAAGGCCCUGCUUUUGUGGGGUGCUCGAGUGGCGAACGGGUGAGUAACACGUGAGUAACCUGCCCUUGACUUUGGGAUAACUUCAGGAAACUGGGGCUAAUACCGGAUAGGAGCUCCUGCUGCAUGGUGGGGGUUGGAAAGUUUCGGCGGUUGGGGAUGGACUCGCGGCUUAUCAGCUUGUUGGUGGGGUAGUGGCUUACCAAGGCUUUGACGGGUAGCCGGCCUGGGAGGGUGACCGGCCACAUUGGGACUGAGAUACGGCCCAGACUCCUACGGGAGGUAGCAGUGGGGAAUAUUGCACAAUGGGCGGAAGCCUGAUGCAGCAACGCCGCGUGCGGGAUGACGGCCUUCGGGUUGUAAACCGCUUUCGCCUGUGACGAAGCGUGAGUGACGGUAAUGGGUAAAGAAGCACCGGCUAACUACGUG
rnacentral:rRNA from 1 species